UCUCACUGUCCUCUGCACUAG
rnacentral:miRNA from 1 species